AGUGAACGCUGGCGGUAGGCCUAACACAUGCAAGUCGAACGGCAGCACAGGAGAGCUUGCUCUCUGGGUGGCGAGUGGCGGACGGGUGAGGAAUACAUCGGAAUCUACCUUUUCGUGGGGGAUAACGUAGGGAAACUUACGCUAAUACCGCAUACGACCUACGGGUGAAAGUGGGGGACCGCAAGGCCUCACGCGAUUAGAUGAGCCGAUGUCCGAUUAGCUAGUUGGCGGGGUAAUGGCCCACCAAGGCGACGAUCGGUAGCUGGUCUGAGAGGAUGAUCAGCCACACUGGAACUGAGACACGGUCCAGACUCCUACGGGAGGCAGCAGUGGGGAAUAUUGGACAAUGGGCGCAAGCCUGAUCCAGCCAUACCGCGUGGGUGAAGAAGGCCUUCGGGUUGUAAAGCCCUUUUGUUGGGAAAGAAAUCCUAUCGGUUAAUAACCGGUGGGGAUGACGGUACCCAAAGAAUAAGCACCGGCUAACUUCGUGCCAGCCGCCGCAGUAAUAC
rnacentral:rRNA from 1 species